AUGCAGGAACAGAAAACCAAAUACUGCUUGUUCUCAUUUGGAAACAAGGCAACUCAGAGGACUGAGAGACUCAGGACUUCCAGACAGAGGAUCAGGCGUACCUCAUGCAUGGGUGUUUUGGAAGAAGGCCAUUUUGAAACCUACUCUGUAUCAUUACAGACUUUCAGUGAAUUAAUUUAGAAUAAAUCCACCUCCUUCCCUGUAUGUGGUAGAAUUUCACUGGGAUACAACGUGAGGACAGAGAUUUGAACCCUCAGUCCCACUUAUGAUGCGGGGCUUCAGGGGCACCACGGACAUGCUCCGCAUUCACCCAUCUGUGGGGGAGGACUAAGGAAGCUGCGCUGGUGUGUGAGAAAGUAAUGGGCUCUUUUAAGCCCUUUUACUUAAAGCAAUAAAAGAAUAACUGCGUCAUCUGCUGGA
rnacentral:lncRNA from 1 species